GAAUAUAGCUGUCAGGCAGCGGGUAUGGGGGAAUAAAGGGGGUGGGAGAGAACUCUGGGCAGAAGAACUCCUCUCCACGUGGCCUCUGUGCUCUGAGGAGUGUCACUGUGCACUGGGCUGAGUACGCAGAGAUGUCAUCAGUAGGCCCGCUGCUGACUGUGGACAGGAGCUUGAGUUCCUUGGGUGCUCGCCACUAAAUCCCGUCUUCUGCCUUCAGUUAAAUCCGUCUUGCUUAAGGUUUAAUUUGCUGCGAUGAAACACCCUGACCGAAAGCAACUUGGGGAGGAACGGGUUUAUCUCACUUUAAACUUCCAUAUCAGAGGAAGUCAGGGCAGGAACCUAGAAGCAGGAACUGAAACAGAGGCCAUGGGGUUGCUGUGUGUGUAUGAUUUUUACUGGCUUACUAAGUGUCCCCUCAUCAUAGUGCUUUCUCAUACUGUCCAGAACCACCUGCGGAGGGGUGGCUCUUCUACCCUAUGCCUGAGGCUUCCCAGUCAAUCAUUAAUCAAGCAAAUGCCCCACAGACUUGCCUACAGACAUAUCUA
rnacentral:lncRNA from 1 species